rnacentral:rRNA from 1 species
UGCGAUGGCCGUCGUCAGUUCGUACUGUGAAGCAUCCUGUUAAGUCAGGCAACGAGCGAGACCCACGUCCACAGUUGCCAGCAUACCCUCCGGGGUGAUGGGUACACUGUGGAGACCGCCGCUGCUAAAGCGGAGGAAGGAAUGGGCAACGGUAGGUCAGUAUGCCCCGAAUCUCCCGGGCUACACGCGGGCUACAAUGGUUGGUACAAUGGGCAUCUACCCCGAAAGGGGAAGGAAAUCUCUUAAAGCCAAUCGUAGUUCGGAUUGAGGGCUGCAACUCGCCCUCAUGAAGCUGGAAUCCGUAGUAAUCGCGUUUCAACAGAACGCGGUGAAUACGUCCCUGCUCCUU